GAUGAACGCUGGCGGCGUGCCUAAUACAUGCAAGUCGAGCGAACGGACGAGAAGCUUGCUUCUCUGAUGUUAGCGGCGGACGGGUGAGUAACACGUGGAUAACCUACCUAUAAGACUGGGAUAACUUCGGGAAACCGUAUCUAAUACCGGAUAAUAUUUUGAACCGCAUGGUUCAAAAGUGAAAGACGGUCUUGCUGUCACUUAUAGCUGGAUCUGGGCUGCAUUGGCUGGUUGUUAAGGUAACGGGUUCCUAAGGCAACGAUGCAUAGCCGACGUGAGGGGGUGGUCGCCGACACUGGAACUGGGCCAGGGUCAUGACUCCUAAGGGAGGCAGCAGUAGGGUACGUUCCGCAAUGGGCGAAAGCCUGACGGAGCAACGCCGCGUGAGUGAUGAAGAUCUUCGGAUCGUAAAACUCUGUUAUUAGGGAAGAACAUAUGUGUAAGUAACUGUGGACAUCGUGACGGUACCUAAUCAGAAAGCCACGGCUAACUACGUG
rnacentral:rRNA from 1 species